UCUUCAAUUUCCCCUGUUGCCAAAUUUAGUACCAUUUAGUACAAUUUUAUUACAUAUGUUCCAAACCAACUCCAUAUCUCAACAUAAGAUACCAACAGAGAAACAUCAAUAUCAAAUUUCGGGACUCCAGCUCUAUAGAUUCCCUGAAUACAAAAUUUAGUACCAUUUAGUACUUUUUGUACAAAUAUAGGACGUCAACAGUGACAUCCAUUUCAAAUUUCCUUCACCGAAUACCAAAUUUAGUACAAUUCAGUACUCAUAUCUCAAUCCCAAAUACCAACACAGACCUCAAUAUCAAAUUUCGAGUUUCCAGUUCUAUCCCUUCACCGAAUACCAAAUUUAGUACCAUUUAGUAUUUUCGAAUUCAAUUUUUUUGUUUGAAAAUUUCAGCUUCAUCCGUUCACACUUAAGUAAACUGUUCCAAAUUUAGUACAAUUUUGUACAGUUCCCUCACUUACUAGACAUUUCCAAAACCACCUCCAUGCAUUAAACUUACAGCCAGUUCCACGAUAUCGAAAGAACACGUUCGCACAACUUUUACACGACAAACAGCUGAUUUCCGUUCCACUAAAAUCUAUCAGAACGAAAAUUUGCACGAAAAUCAAAGCGAACGAAAACGUAAGCAUUUCAGUGUAAUUUUGCGUUCCACUAUCUUUUUUCUUUCGUACGCAUGCGAACACAAAUGUCAAAAUCAGUCACUUGUGUGUUUGCUGUCGUAUGAUAACAAUUAAGGAAAAUUGUUUUAACAUAAACAUUGCUUGAUUGAAAAUGGAAACAAAAAUCACGAAAAAAUCAUCAACUACACAGCUGCGGGCACUAGUUGAGUAAAUGGAGGAGAAUCCUGUGUUCGCCAGAGGAAUGCCAAUUUUUGGAAGCAGCAGAAGAAGUUUUAAAUCGGGGCGGAUUUGGGUAGUUCUGCAACCAGGCACCCACUUCUCUUCCUUCAUAUCCAAAAGAGCCCGAAAACUUCCUUCGACACACGAAAGUUGGCCACAAACCUAGAAAAAAUCAUUUUUUAUUAUUUCAAAAAUGUAAAAAUACAAUCAUACUUACUGGUUGUUAGGUACUUCAAAUAAAUUCGAAGCAUCUCUUAAA